CCUACGGGCGGCAGCAGUGAGGAAUAUUGGUCAAUGGACGAGAGUCUGAACCAGCCAAGUAGCGUGAAGGAUGACUGCCCUAUGGGUUGUAAACUUCUUUUAUAUGGGAAUAAAAUGUUCCACGUGUGGGAUUUUGUAUGUACCAUAUGAAUAAGGAUCGGCUAACUCCGUGCCAGCAGCCGCGGUAAUACGGAGGAUCCGAGCGUUAUCCGGAUUUAUUGGGUUUAAAGGGAGCGCAGGUGGAUUGUUAAGUCAGUUGUGAAAGUUUGCGGCUCAACCGUAAAAUUGCAGUUGAAACUGGCAGUCGUGAGUACAGUAGAGGUAGGCGGAAUGCGUGGUGUAGCGGUGAAAUGCUUAGAUAUCACGAAGAACUCCGAUUGCGAAGGCAGCUCACUGGACUGCAACUGACACUGAGGCUCGAAAGUGUGGGUAUCAAACAGGAUUAGAUACCCGAGUAGUC
rnacentral:rRNA from 1 species